rnacentral:rRNA from 1 species
GUGGGGAAUAUUGGACAAUGGGGGGAACCCUGAUCCAGCCAUGCCGCGUGUGUGAAGAAGGCCUUUUGGUUGUAAAGCACUUUAAGCGAGGAGGAGGCUACCGAGAUUAAUACUCUUGGAUAGUGGACGUUACUCGCAGAAUAAGCACCGACUAACUCUGUGCCAGCAGCCGCGGUAAUACAGAGGGUGCAAGCGUUAAUCGGAUUUACUGGGCGUAAAGCGCGCGUAGGUGGCCAAUUAAGUCAAAUGUGAAAUCCCCGAGCUUAACUUGGGAAUUGCAUUCGAUACUGGUUGGCUAGAGUAUGGGAGAGGAUGGUAGAAUUCCAGGUGUAGCGGUGAAAUGCGUAGAGAUCUGGAGGAAUACCGAUGGCGAAGGCAGCCAUCUGGCCUAAUACUGACACUGAGGUGCGAAAGCAUGGGGAGCAAACAGGAUUAGAUACCCGGGUAGUCC